GGCUGAGUGGCGCAACGGUAGCGCGUCUGAUUCCAGCAUAUAAGGAAUAUUUCCUUACAGUGGAGUCUCCAGAAGGUUAUCCGUUCGAAUCGGGUCUCGGUCA
rnacentral:tRNA from 1 species